UUGUGCAGUCAGGAUGUUCUGGUCGCCCAGAACAUGUUUCCGGGCGCCCAGAAACGCCCGUUUCUGCAGGGGCACUGGAUUGCGGCUAUUUUUCCUGGGGCUUAUCUUAUCCAUCCAGCAGCCUAUAAAUACCUGAUCCACCUCUCCAAGAAUUUCAAGGUGCUGAUUCUGCAGUUCUUCAGCGACGACCUUCAGUGUUUUGGCUCGUGCACGACGUAGGAAGAUCGGAAUUCGACGAAACUUGGUUUUCUGGAUUCUAGACUUCCAGAGGAAUCCACGAAGCCCUGAAUUGCAGAUUUUGGUUGAGGCAGUGGGAUUUUAGUCCUGAGAUUGAUCACCCCUCAGUAUUUGCUGGAUUUGGAACUGUCCUCACCUGAUUUGGAGAUCAUUAG